CCGUGUGGUUUCGCGCGAGUCUAGUCUCUUCCAAUAUUCCUAGCUUCGUCUUCUCCAUCCAGCCCUACCUUAGAUUCAAUUUUCCCUACCAACACAAAAGACAACUCUAGCAAAUCGGCAAGAAAAUACUCGAUUUCUUUCCUUUGGCAGUCAAAGCAGCACACGUGGCUCUCUCCCUUAGACCCCACUCUCCAUUCCCUAUUUUCAAUCCAUGCUUACUCUUCUUUUCCAACACCAGACACAGAGUGAUUGGAAAAGUUGUCUAGUGUUGGAGCAAGAGAUCGUCGAUCGAUGUCUUGUGGAACAAAUUGGCGUUGCACCGAAGCUAUUCGAUUAUGUGAAUGAUCCCCUUCGACGAUGCAUCCCAAAGCUUCUAAUCAGUCUUUAAAAGGUCGAUUUGGCGCUCAAUUGACGACAAAGAAGAUUAAACUCACCAUGAGUGAAGUUUGAUAAGGAGCAGAACAAAGAAGUGAUGAUUAUGCUAAUUGAGGGAAUAAGAGUCGUGGUUCAUUGUUACUAUCAACAAGUUGCUCCCUAAUAAAGCUUCCAUAGUGAAGCUCAUGAUUAUGCUAAUAUAACGUCAUCUUUUAGGCUACACCCUGUCCAAAACACACGUAUAUUAACUAAUGUUUAAUAUAUGAAAAUAAUGAAUAGGCAUUGGUUAACAUAUCAUACAUGUUGAAUAGUGGCCUUAUAACGUAUCAUACAAAAUUGCCCAUAAAUAUAAUAGCAUAUAGCUAGGCUAGGCUUUCGUGAGGAUGAACUAGAGCAUGAGGUGAUGCCAAGUAGAAUAAAAAUUAUUCUAACGACUAGUUAAUUAAUAGAGAUUAAGGAUUUAUAUCGAUAAAAGAUGGAACACAGAGAGAAAAUUCUGAUAAUAGGAUUUAUUCAUAAAAGUCGAAAGCUGGUCAGGUUUUAAUAGCUUUGGAAAUAUGAGAUCUUGAUAAUUUUGCUUGAAAAUGCAUAAUCCCAAUUAUUGCAUAAAAAUAAAAUGAUCAAUUUCAUAAAAAGCCAGACCCAAAUCAA